UUAGCCGAAAAUCCAAGAUUCAGCCCUGAAGAAUUGAGACGGAAACACGUAUCAAACUAAAUUACAGCAAGAGACAGGGCCAGGGAGUUUCCAGGCAAUCUUUAUGAGGAUGGAGGAAUCUUGCAAUAAAAUGAUCCAAAAGGUUGAAUCUCUUUAAAGCUAUAUCAACUUCAUCUGCAGAAUUCCACAGAUUUUCAUUCUUGAAUAACCGCAGAUUUUUUUUUUUUUUUUUUUUUUACAAAUCAGCAGAUUCAGUUUGGGCUUGCCCAUGAUCUUCGGCAACUGUCACUGUCUACUCACCAACGCUUGGUUCAUUCAUCCCAGGCCGCGCCCAUCAAAUCAAGUUUACAAAAUCACACAUCAGACAUUGCAUUACUCUUUCUCAAUGAAUCUUAUAACUGGGGAUGAGUUUUCUGAUAGAAUAUUUGACUACAGAUCAAGAUAGAGAAGAUUCAAUUCCCCAUGUAAGUUAGUUUUGAUAAAAGUGUCUGCUAAAUUAAUACAUUAUUGUUAAUGUUACACCCCCUAACACACUGCCUUUUAAAAUGUUAUGUGGGGCAAUGCAAAUAUAUAAGACUUUCACUCUCUUUUGUCCAGCUUCUCAUAAGGGUCUUUCUGAGAUAAGCAUUAUUUAUUAUUAUGGAGUAAUACUUAAUAAUAGUAUUGACAAUAUAAUUAAUAUUGAGUAAUACUCAACAUAGGGAUCUCCAGACAAAGGCACCAUAAGGUGAUGUCAUUGUCCAGGUUCCAUCUCUGCCCCUCGGCUGAAGAUCAUGCAUUGAUCCUGGCUUUGCACUCCACCGUCCACAUGGAAGGGUUGGAACAAACACCAACAACUCUAAGCUUUCCAACGGUAUUACUGGAAAAACUAGCAACCUAGAAAAGGCUAGCAAUGUAAGAUUAUUAUAAUGAUAUAGAAAUACACAGAUCUAUGAUUUGUUUCAUAUCUGAAAUGUAAUUCAAUUAUCAAUAUACGAUAAUAUUUUAUUUGUUUGAAGCAACUCAUCAUUUAUCGUUUCCUUUACAUUCUGGUUCCCAAUAUUCACCCAUUCAUCUGUGAGAGGGUGACUAAAUAUUCUCCCAUUCAUCUGUGAGAAGGUGACUAAAUAUUCACCUAUUCGUCUGUGAGAGGGUGACUAAAUAUUCACCCAUUCAUCUGUGAGAAGGUGACUAAAUAUUCACCUAUUCAUCUGUGAGAGGGUGACUAAAUAUUCACCCAUUCAUAUGUGAGAGGGUGACUAAAUAAUCACCCAUUCUUCUGUGAGAGGGUGACUAACAUGAUAUGGCAAUGACACGAUCGACACGCUUUUUGGACCAGUUCUUCUCCUCCCCAGCUGCAUCAGUCACACUAACCCUACAGCCAUCUGCAUCAGGCCAUCUGCAUGCUUCCCUUUAGUUAUCUUUUUUUUUUUACAAGUUUUUAUUGUACAUGAUUGUUGUCAUACGGUGGGUUGUGAAAUGCUUUGUAUUAGAUUGCCUUAAAUUAAAAUGAAUGACUACUUUUAUAAACAUUGUUGAUUUAUACUUUUGUGGCAAUAAUGAGGAUGAUGGGGGCAAAGGUGAUAGUGAUGAAUCACCCAGAGGGAAAGACAGACAUGAUGACACAAAGGUCUUCCUUGGUGAGGUACAUUUGUGUUCCUACACUACAGAACCCCGUAGAUAUAUAGAUGAUAAAGUAAAAAAACAAAAUAACAAAGUACUGUUACAUAUUUGAUAUUUAGAUAAU